ensembl:snRNA U7 U7 small nuclear RNA
UAGUGAUUUAGCUCCUUAAGAAUUUGUCUAGCAGGUUUUCUGGUUUUUGCUGGAAAAUUCUC